GGGAACAACCUCUCGAAAGAGAGGCUAAUACCCAAAAGGGUCAGUAAUGAUCAGAGUCGAAAGGCGUGAGGAGAGGAGCCCGCGGCCCAUCAGCUAGUUGGUGAGGUAAUGGCUUACCAAGGCUACGACGGGUAGGGGAUCUGAGAGGAUGUCCCCCACACUGGAACUGAAACACGGUCCAGACGCCUACGGGUGGCAGCAGUGAGGAAUAUUGGACAAUGGGCGAAAGCCCGAUCCAGCAACGCCGCGUGGAGGAUGAAGGCCUUCGGGUCGUAAACUUCUUUAGAGGGAGACGAGAAAGGACGGUAUCCCUAGAAUAAGCGACGGCAAACUACGUGCCAGCAGCCGCGGUAACACGUAGGUCGCGAGCGUUAUCCGGAUUUACUGGGCGUAAAGCGCUUGUAGGCGGUUCUGUAAGUCGGGCGUGAAAUCUCCGGGCUUAACCCGGAGUGGCCGUUCGAUACUGCAGGGUUGAGGAUGCUAGAGGGUGGUGGAAUUCCAGGUGUAGUGGUGAAAUGCGUAGAUAUCUGGAGGAACAUCCGUGGCGAAGGCGGCCACCUGGGGCAUUCCUGACGCUGAGAAGCGACAGCUAGGGGAUCAAACGGGAUUAGAAACCCCGGUAGUCCUAGCCGUAAACGAUGGACGCUAGGUGUUGGCAGAUCUAACCCUGUCUGCGCCGAAGCAAACGCGUUAAGCGUCCCGCCUGGGAACUACGGUCGCAAGAUUAAAACUCAAAGGAAUUGACGGGGACCCGCACAAGCAGCGGAGCGUGUGGUUUAAUUCGAUUCUACACGAAGAACCUUACCCAGGUUUGACAUACUAGUGGUAGUGAACUGAAAGGGGAACGACCCGCAAGGGAGCUAGUACAGGUGUUGCAUGGCUGUCGUCAGCUCGUGUCGUGAGAUGUUGGUUUAAGUACCCUAACGAGCGCAACCCUUAUUGCCAGUUACACGUAUCUGGCGAGACUGCCGGCCACAAGCCGGAGGAAGGCGAGGAUGACGUCAAGUCAGCAUGGCCUUUAUAUCUGGGGCUACACACACGCUACAAUGGGCGUAACAAUGGGAUGCCAAGCCGUGAGGCGGAGCCAAUCCCCCAAAUACGUCCUCAGUUCAGAUUGCAGGCUGCAACCCGCCUGCAUGAAGUCGGAGUUGCUAGUAAACGCGCGUCAGCUAUAGUGCGUUGAAUACGUUCCCGGGUCUUGUACACACCGCCCGUCACACUAUGGGAGCUGGUAAUACCUGAAGCCGGUAGCCUAACCGCAAGGAAGGCGCCGUCAAAGGUAGGGCUGGUGACUGGAGUGAAGUCGUAACAAGGUA
rnacentral:rRNA from 1 species